AUUGAACGCUGGCGGCAUGCCUUACACAUGCAAGUCGAACGGCAGCACGGGAGCAAUCCUGGUGGCGAGUGGCGAACGGGUGAGUAAAGUAUCGGAACGUGCCCAGUCGUGGGGGAUAGCGUAGCGAAAGUUACGCUAAUACCGCAUACGAUCUAUGGAUGAAAGCGGGGGAUCGCAAGACCUCGCGCGAUUGGAGCGGCCGAUAUCAGAUUAGGUGGCUGGUGGGGUAAAGGCUCACCAAGCCGACGAUCUGUAGCUGGUCUGAGAGGACGACCGGCAACACUGGGCAUGAGACACGGCCCAGCCUCCUACGGGAGGCAGCAGUGGUGAAUUUUGGACAAUGGGCGCAAGCCUGAUCCAGCCAUGCCGCGUGCAGGAUGAAGGCCUUCGGGUUGUAAACUGCUUUUGUACGGAACGAAAGGGUUUGACUUAAUACGUUGGCCUCAUGACGGUACCGUAAGAAUAAGCACCGGCUAACUACGUGCCAGCAGCCGCCGUAA
rnacentral:rRNA from 1 species